rnacentral:rRNA from 1 species
AGGACGAACGCUGGCGGCGCGCUUAACACAUGCAAGUCGAGCGAGAACCAGUCCUUCGGGACUGGGGAAAGCGGCGAACGGGUGAGUAACACGUGGGUAAUCAACCCUCAGUACCGGGAUAGCCCGAGGAAACUCGGAUUAAUACCGGAUGGCCCAACAGCUCUUCGGGGCGGUUGGAAAAGGUAGCUUCGGCCUCCGACUGAGGACGAGCCCGCGGCGGAUUAGCUUGUUGGCGGGGUAAUGGCCCACCAAGGCGACGAUCCGUAGCUGGUCUGAGAGGACGAUCAGCCACACUGGGACUGAGACACGGCCCAGACUCCUACGGGAGGCAGCAGUGGGGAAUCUUGCGCAAUGGGCGAAAGCCUGACGCAGCAACGCCGCGUGAGGGAUGAAGGCCUUCGGGUUGUAAAGCUCUUUGUGCGGGAAGAUAAUGACGGUACCGCAAGAAUAAGCCCCGGCUAACUUCGUGCCAGCAGGCCGC